ACUCUCGGCAACGGAUAUCUCGGCUCUCGCAUCGAUGAAGAACGUAGCGAAAUGCGAUACUUGGUGUGAAUUGCAGAAUCCCGUGAACCAUCGAGUCUUUGAACGCAAGUUGCGCCUGAAGCCAUCAGGCUGAGGGCACGUCUGCCUGG
rnacentral:rRNA from 1 species